CAGAAAUUACAACCCAGUUAAGAGAAGUACUGUAGGGAAUCCAGCUAGUAAGAGACAAAGUAGGGACCCCAUCCAUCAACCCACCAGCAGCGAUUCAACAUCAGUGGUCUUUGCAAAUUUGAUGAAGCACACAGACGGUAACAGUGUUGAUUUAAUACAUGUCAUUAGUAGUAGUAUAAUGGAAGGUGUUAGAGUACCUGUUCUUUUAUCUCUUCAGUCCACGAGAUCAAUGUUGGAAGCCAUAAGAAAUCCAAUUGAAAAAAACCAAUAACGAGAAAAUAAUACACAAAUUAAACACAGUGAAUUAUGUGGCUUCCACAAGAUGCCCUCAGACAUAUAUACACACAGAAAUAUCAUGAGAGAUACACACAGGUGACACACAGACAUGUUUACAUUGACACAUACUGACAUACAUGCAAAGAUUCACGCACACACAGAUCCAUACACUGACACACAUACGCACUGACAGACAUGCAGAGAUCCAUACACUGACACUAAGGCAAACGUCAAAAUACACUUACUGUAAGUUGAAGUAGAAACAUGAUUGCCCUCCGAAUGUGUGCCACUGCAGUACCUCUUGCAGAAAACAGUCUGUAGCGGAGCUCCUGUACUCUGACUGAGU